rnacentral:rRNA from 1 species
AUUGAACGCUGGCGGCAGGCUUAACACAUGCAAGUCGAGCGGAGCGAGGGUGCUUGCACCUUAGCUUAGCGGCGGACGGGUGAGUAAUGCUUAGGAAUCUGCCUAUUAGUGGGGGACGACAUUCCGAAAGGAAUGCUAAUACCGCAUACGCCCUACGGGGGAAAGCAGGGGAUCUUCGGACCUUGCGCUAAUAGAUGAGCCUAAGUCGGAUUAGCUAGUUGGUGGGGUAAAGGCCUACCAAGGCGACGAUCUGUAGCGGGUCUGAGAGGAUGAUCCGCCACACUGGGACUGAGACACGGCCCAGACUCCUACGGGAGGCAGCAGUGGGGAAUAUUGGACAAUGGGCGGAAGCCUGAUCCAGCCAUGCCGCGUGUGUGAAGAAGGCCUUUUGGUUGUAAAGCACUUUAAGCGAGGAGGAGGCUACUUAGAUUAAUACUCUGGGAUAGUGGACGUUACUCGCAGAAUAAGCACCGGCUAACUCUGUGCCAGCCGCCGCAGUAC